AAAUUCUGGAAUCUUGUUGUUCCUCAUAAUUUUCUUGUUCAAAACAGCAUACUCACAGAGCUUUUGAACAGUAUCAGAACAUUCAUGAUAUGUAGUUUUUGCAUCUUUGAAUCAUAUGUCAACAAUAUACUCUUUGGAAACUUAUAUGUCCACAGAGUUCUUGGUACAUACUGCCAGUUGUAAAUUGAUGAUUGUAGACCAAAUGUAUAACAAAUGUUUAACAGAUUAAGGUGUUCAGAUAGCAGCUCACUACUGAGAACUUACAUUUGCAAGAAUGAUAUAAAUUCUGGAAUCUUGUUGUUCCUCAUAAUUUUCUUGUUCAAAACAGCAUACUCACAGAGCUUUUGAACAGUAUCAGAACAUUCAUGAUAUGUAGUUUUUGCAUCUUUGAAUCAUAUGUCAACAAUGUACUCUUUGGAAACUUAUAUGUCCACAUCUUGAUCAACUUCAUAAAAAUGAAAUCAAGUUCCUUCUGAGUAAAAGAUGUGGGAUAAACCUCAAAUUUAACAGCAGAUUGUUGGAAUCAAUGAGGAUGGAAGCUGAAGGUGACAAGCACAGUUACCUCACGGUGUUCUGAGCAAGUUCAUCAACUAUCAACAUUAAAUUGAUACAAAGACUAUUUCAUCGGCCACACCAGCACAUUCUAACAGGACUCAGAGCUAGAAUACAACUGUCAGCAUAAGAAACAAAAAAGUCCAUUUCUUAGACAACUUGUUAAAAUGCUAUCUUUCUUUAUAACUUUCUCUAACUUGGUACAUAUCAAUAUCAAUCAAUGUCACAAUGAUUUAAGUAUUGACAAUAGAGGUUUUGGAAAGCAAGUGAAUAAAGAAAAGGAUGAAUGAUUUUGUGUUUGCAUGUGUGAAUAAUAAAUUUCAUUCUUAUUGUAA
rnacentral:lncRNA from 1 species